UCAGAUUCCCUGGGGUCAUAGGAGCCAUUGACGGAUCGCAUAUUAAAUUAAAGACUCCAUCCAAAGACAUUGAACAUGUAUAUGUUUGCCGAAAAGGAGGACACUCAAUAAAUGUGCAAGUGGUAUGUGACAUGGAUUUAAGAAUACUCGACUGUAAUGCUCGUUUCGGCAGAACUGCUCACGACGCAUCAGUUUGGAGAGCAAGUGCUUUGAAGGUUUUUCUUGACAAUAUGUACUCCAAUGGAGAACGAAAUUUUUGGCUUUUAGGUGACAGUGGAUAUCCUCAAUUACCUUAUUUAAUGACUCCUAUUCCGGGAAACAAUCUCUCAGAUUCUGAACAUAAUUACAACAGACAUCACCGAAAAGCAAGAAACUGUGUAGAACGCUGCUUUGGAGUACUGAAAUCUAGAUUUCGAUGCCUGUCAAAAGAUAGAGUGCUUAUGUAUGACCCAGUUUUAGCCGGAAAAAUUAUAAAUGCUUGUAUAAUUUUGCACAAUAUCAUGAUAUUAAAUAAUAUAAGGUAUGAAAUUGAGGAUGAUGAUAACAUAAGUUUUGAUGAAGAGUUUAAUUUACUUGAUGAAAUAACUAGUACUCAUCAUGGUAUUGCUGCAAGACAACAAAUUCUAAAUAACUAUUUUAGUUGCUGAGAUUUGUGGUUUGCUCACAUUUACAUGCAUGUACAAUGUAUGUAUUUAUGAUGAGCUUAUUCAGU